AGGUAGCCGUAUCGGAAGGUGCGGCUGGAUCACCUCCUUUCU
rnacentral:rRNA from 4 species